rnacentral:rRNA from 1 species
UAGUAAUUGAACUUAGUACGAGAGGAACCGUUCAUUCAGAUAAUUGGUAUAUGGCUUUGUUUGAUAAAGCAUUGAGCCGAAGCUACCAUCUGCUGGAUUAUGGCUGAACGCCUCUAAGUCAGAAUCCAUGCUAGAAGUAAUGAUAUUUUGAGAAAAGGUUAAUAUAAGCUUUUUAUAAGCUCGAGACCAUAUAGUGAAUGAUUCUGGGAUAGAAAUUCUCAGUGAUGCACUUGAAGUAAAAUAAUAUUUUUGAGAUCCUAAGUAUACGACUUAGUGGGAACAUGGUAUUGUAAGUGGUAGAGUAGCCUUGUUGUUACGAUCCAUUGAGAUUUCCAAUGUUCGAAGAUUUGCUUUGGC